rnacentral:ncRNA from 2 species
UGACCCCGUGCGGGAGAGUCCUCCGGUCAAGUUCGCCGGUGGCGCCGAAGGAGCAAAUCCUCCCCGGAAUCUCUCAGGCCCCCGUACCGCGCGGACGAG